GUGGGGAAUAUUGGACAAUGGGCGCAAGCCUGAUCCAGCCAUGCCGCGUGAGUGAUGAAGGCCUUAGGGUUGUAAAGCUCUUUCAGUGGGGACGAUAAUGACGGUACCCACAGAAGAAGCCCCGGCUAACUUCGUGCCAGCAGCCGCGGUAAUACGAAGGGGGCUAGCGUUGUUCGGAUUUACUGGGCGUAAAGCGCACGUAGGCGGAUCGUUAAGUCGGGGGUGAAAUCCUGGAGCUCAACUCCAGAACUGCCUUCGAUACUGGCGAUCUUGAGUCCGGAAGAGGUGAGUGGAACUCCUAGUGUAGAGGUGGAAUUCGUAGAUAUUCGCAAGAACACCAGUGGCGAAGGCGGCUCACUGGCCCGGUACUGACGCUGAGGUGCGAAAGCGUGGGGAGCAAACAGGAUUAGAAACCCCUGUAGUCC
rnacentral:rRNA from 1 species